rnacentral:rRNA from 1 species
GGUGAACGCUGGCGGUAGGCCUAACACAUGCAAGUCGAACGGCAGCACAGUAAGAGCUUGCUCUUACGGGUGGCGAGUGGCGGACGGGUGAGGAAUACAUCGGAAUCUACUUUUUCGUGGGGGAUAACGUAGGGAAACUUACGCUAAUACCGCAUACGACCUACGGGUGAAAGCAGGGGAUCUUCGGACCUUGCGCGAUUGAAUGGGCCGAUGUCGGAUUAGCUAGUUGGCGGGGUAAAGGCCCACCAAGGCGACGAUCCGUAGCUGGUCUGAGAGGAUGAUCAGCCACACUGGAACUGAGACACGGUCCAGACUCCUACGGGAGGCAGCAGUGGGGAAUAUUGGACAAUGGGCGCAAGCCUGAUCCAGCCAUACCGCGUGGGUGAAGAAGGCCUUCGGGUUGUAAAGCCCUUUUGUUGGGAAAGAAAAGCAGCAGGUUAAUACCCCGCUGUUCUGACGGUACCCAAAGAAUAAGCACCGGCUAACUUCGUG